CAGGGAAUAUUGCACAAUGGGCGCAAGCCUGAUGCAGCGACGCCGCGUGCGGGAUGAAGGCCUUCGGGUUGUAAACCGCUUUCAGGAGGGACGAAAAUGACGGUACCUCCAGAAGAAGGCCCGGCCAACUACGUGCCAGCAGCCGCGGUAAUACGUAGGGGCCAAGCGUUGUCCGGAUUUAUUGGGCGUAAAGGGCUCGUAGGCGGUUUGACAAGUCGGUCGUGAAAACCCGGGGCUCAACCCCGGGACGCCGGUCGAAACUGUCAUGACUAGGGUCCGGUAGAGGUGAGUGGAAUUCUCGGUGUAGCGGUGAAAUGCGCAGAUAUCGAGAGGAACACCAGUAGCGAAGGCGGCUCACUGGGCCGGUACCGACGCUGAGGAGCGAAAGCGUGGGGAGCAAACAGGAUUAGAUACCCCCGUAGUCC
rnacentral:rRNA from 1 species